UGUUGUCCAACUCACCGGUGAGUGAGCUGAAACAAUAACAAUUGACGCGUUCUUAAACUCUUGCACAGAUGACACUUUCAUUUGUUUGGUUGUGUCGAGUGGUGCAGGGUAUUGACGACACAACUUUAGCCAGAUCGUUACUCGGCUUUACCAUAAAUCAAACCGUGAGUCGAAUUGAAUGUCCUGAGUUAAGCCGGUGUGCGCACGAAACACGCAUUGAGCAAUUUAAAUGACAGCUGAGCCAUGCAUUGUUACUCGUUACACUAACCAUCGUCGCCGCCGACAGCACGGUUAUCGUUGAUCUAAACUUUACACGUGCGACACAAAAUCACGAUGAUCAUUAUGAUGGUGACGAUGCAGAGCGAUGCAAAAUACUAACCCUACCCCGUGUGUUCAGAAGACCUUGAGGGCAGAUUCUCAUCGUCCUAUCACGGACUCGCCAUGGGGCUGCCAGCCCGCUGGGCCGAGAGAAGCUGAGAGCCAGGGAAGGGCGAGCGGGCCGAGAGCGAGAGGAGGACUGGUGGGCGAAGUGGGACGUGUCCCACCGACAGGCCGCGGUGUGGCGUUGACCUGCCGCGAGCACCGGGGCGACGACGAGGACACUCGGUGAACAACUCAGUGGACUGUUCAUCGCGAACAGGCGACGAUGAGGCCACGUUCACAAACGCGGGACACCGCGAGGAGCCGGGGACAUUCCCUAUGUGGGAACGUUGCUUGGUGCAGUGUCCGGAUAAAAGCGGGGGCUUCAUUUCUCAUUGAAUGUUUUCCACGUCACUGGUAGAUUCCAGACGGCAUGCGAUGAGUAGUCACAGCGAGAGGUGUCGCGUGCCUUUUGGGAUUUUCAUUUUUGGACAGACCCAGCUGAAAUGAAGCGUUGGGUAGAAAUGUACUUCUGUAGGAGAUUCACUCGGGUUGUCAGUUAUCCUGGGUUUUCGAAGGAUCGUACACCUUGAGAGGUAGCUGCCAUCCUGGAAAAUGUGUUCCAGUCUUCCAGAGUCAAUGGUUACGUAAUAAUACGCUGCUCGCGAUAACGAUUGUUGACCCCUCUUACGGUAUUGUGAGAUGUUCUUCUUCUCGUGCGUUCCAUGUUUUUGAAUCCCAGGGAAGGGGGCGACCCCAACAGUCACGCACUGGUCACCCAGCCUCCAUUACAGUAACAGGAUAUUCCUGGAUAAGCGCGUUAAUAAUGCAUGGAACCAAAUGAUCAGAAUUAAACCUUUGUCGACCGUGCGCAGUCACUCACACCCUAUGCCUAUGAAUUACAGGUGUGCGGGAUGUUUUCCACCAUCAUAUCCAUUCCUCUAAGACGGGGGUGGGGAACCUUUUUCCUGGCUGAAGUUCAAAUAUGACUUUCAAACAAUAUUGGCAGGGUACACAUUGACACGCACCACGGUCACUUGCGGCACGAGAAGAGGCCCUUUCCGUGGCACAAAGAUUAGCAACACAGCAUUGCCAUGUCAAAUAGAUGCCCCUCUAGUACCCGAUUAGUUAAACUCAGAUGAAUGAGUGACGGAUGAAUGUCGUUUGACGGCCGUUUCGAAGUGCUAGGCCUCAUGUGGUCAUGGGCCGUGUGAAAUUAAGUCACAGGCCUUAGUUUCGCAACCCCUGAUUGCUCUAUGAGAUACACAUACACCUCUGUACUGUCCUUUUUUGAGAAGCAGGAUAAUACAAUAUCGUAUUUGGCUUAAAAACCAUGAAGCCCUUCCAGUUUAUAUGUUUUCCUGGUAAAUUACUCCUGCUCUGGAGGAGGGGUUAACGGAUCACUCAAGAGUGUCAAAAAAGUGAUAUUCACAAUUAGCUGAGCCGCGCGGUGGCCACUAUACGGUAGCACACAAAAGUGGUUUGCUGACCUGUUUUUUUACCUUUUACGCUCUGCACGUAUGCUCCAUAUUAUCUGGGUAGUGGAAUCUGCCUCCCUCAAGCAAAACAACUCAAGAAAUGUCGCCAAACAUCCCAAUGCAGGACCUGCCUGAAAAUUGAGUCUCGAGACUCGGCGAGGCUUCCCUGGCUGAACGGACCGUACUGUCUGAUAGCCCAUGUAGAACAGCGCCACGCGCAGCGUUUCCCAUGCUUUAUUUUAGCACACUUAAUAAUUAAUCGCAAUGAUCAACACAAAUCGUGAAGCAAAGUGAUUGCUCCAGAUAUGGUCCCCCGCAGCUGAGCUCAUACGAAUGAGGAUGACAUUGGAGAGCGGUGUAAUUAUUUCCAGGAACAUGAGGAGUUAAGUGCCGGUCGUUGGUGUAACACAACGCCGCACGGGUAAAGGUGUCUCCAUCAGAAUUUAAUUUCAAUUUGAUUAUAAGCACCGCAACUGAAGGGACAUUCCUCCUCCGUAGCUAUGACACUGCAAAGGCGCCAGGUGAUGCGGAGAUGCUGGAUCAUUGCGGAAAGCUGAGGUGAAUGCGCAUGAGGCAGAGCCGCUAUGAAGACGAAGACGCAAGGUGCAUCUCUGAAAUCGAUUGCUCAUGCCAAUGCUGGUGAAUAUAAAAAUGCGAGUCGUGAAAAUGACACACAAAUAUUGUACAUUUGUCAAUCCACUCCCUGAUGACGGCCUCCCCAGUCUUUAUCAGUGAAUCUGUGAUUUUGUUUUAACCAUUUCCAACUUUAUUUUUCCAAUAAAAAUCUUCUGCCGUAGCUGCGAA